rnacentral:rRNA from 1 species
UACAGGGGGUGCAAACGUUGCUCGGAAUCAUUGGGCGUAAAGCGCACGUAGGCGGUUCGUUAUGUCGGAUGUGAAAGCCCUUGGCUUAACCGAGGAAGUGCAUCCGAAACUGGCGAGCUAGAGUACGAAAGAGGAUCGCGGAAUUCCCGGUGUAGAGGUGAAAUUCGUAGAUAUUGGGAGGAACACCGGUGGCGAAGGCGGCCAUCUGGGCUACAACUGACGCUGAGGCGCGAAAGCGUGGGGAGCAAACAGG